UCUUAUAUUAUGGGACGGAGG
rnacentral:miRNA from 1 species